UUUCCGUAGGUGAACCUGCGGAAGGAUCAUUACAGAGUUCAUGCCCUCACGGGUAGAUCUCCCACCCACUGUUAUCGUUACUGUGUUGCUUUGGCGGGCCGCCGGGCCCCGCUCGGCCGCCGGCUCCGGCUGGCGCGCGCCCGCCAGAGGCCCAGCAAACUCUGAAUGUUAGUGUCGUCUGAGUACUAUAUAAUAGUUAAAACUUUCAACAACGGAUCUCUUGGUUCUG
rnacentral:misc_RNA from 1 species